UACGGGGGGGGCAAGCGUUGUUCGGAAUUACUGGGCGUAAAGGGCUCGUAGGCGGCCAACUAAGUCAGACGUGAAAUCCCUCGGCUUAACCGGGGAACUGCGUCUGAUACUGGAUGGCUUGAGUUCGGGAGAGGGAUGCGGAAUUCCAGGUGUAGCGGUGAAAUGCGUAGAUAUCUGGAGGAACACCGGUGGCGAAGGCGGCAUCCUGGACCGACACUGACGCUGAGGAGCGAAAGCCAGGGGAGCAAAACGGGG
rnacentral:rRNA from 1 species